AUGAAAGCAUGAGAAUUGGUCAGAUAAUCAACACCAAAGUUCUGGUCAUUGCACGACAUGAAUAACUGGUCUCUCCUUCAAAUGGCAUUUUUUUUCUUUUUAAUCUUUGAGGUAAAGAAGCUCAUCUUUCUUCACAGUCUCUGGGCUUGAGAAACCGUGUUUACAACCCCCGUAUCUCAUCCAAAACAGAUGGAUUGUGUUAUGCCUGUGGUUGAGUUACUUUAAGCCUUCUGAUUAGAUUAUGCGCUCGAAAGGAAGGAAGAUUUCUCUGUAGGCUUGUUGUUUUGAAAUCUCUCUUGCUUAAUAUAGGUGUCUCCUUUGUGAUGCAUCUAUUCUCUAACAGAUCGAUCAUCCAAGCAUUAAUUCCCAAUUGAAGCCCCAAUUUCUUCACAAACCCUAAAACCAACAAAGAAUGAAAAACCUUCGACUCCUCCUCCGUCAACGAAUCGAACCCCUUCUUAACCAGCUAUGCGAGGCAGUGACCAACAUCUUCACCACCGCUAUCAUUGCAAAAUCACUUUGAGAUUCACCAUCGCAUCAACAAAAUCCACAAAUCCAAAUCGAUUCCACUUCCUCACAAUCUCUUAUAGGCAAACGAACAUGUAGCUUAUCACAGAUUUGAUCAGAAAUGCGAAACAAUUAGAAUCGAGCAGAUCUGAAUCGGAAACCUAGCAAAGAAGAAAAGCGUACCUUAGAUCCGAUCAGUGGGUGAGAUAUAAUGGAGAGAAGCGCGGGAAGUAAAGCGACGGAGACAUAGGCAUCAAAAUCAAAGUUUGGGAGAUGAAGAGUACGAGUUGCUGGCACCGAUCUGAUCUUCAGGGAGAGAAACCUCUGUCGUCGACCAUAUCUGGUUCUUCUCAAUCGGAAUCCAUCAACGUGAUAUUGUACUUCUCGAUCGGAGGCCGAUCCGUUUCGGCGUAGUCAUCAUCUUCCUCAACGACCGCCUUCGACCACGAGGAAUGUCAUGAAGUCGAGCCGGCGGUGGCGUCCAGGUAGUGUCGUCGAGGCGGUGGCAUCUUCCGAUGAAUAAUGGAGAGAGAGAGAGAGAGAGAG
rnacentral:lncRNA from 1 species